rnacentral:rRNA from 1 species
UACGUAGGGUGCAAGCGUUGUCCGGAAUUAUUGGGCGUAAAGAGCUCGUAGGCGGUUCGUCACGUCGGCUGUGAAAUCCCGAGGCUCAACCUCGGGUCUGCAGUCGAUACGGGCGGACUUGAGUACUGCAGGGGAGACUGGAAUUCCUGGUGUAGCGGUGAAAUGCGCAGAUAUCAGGAGGAACACCGGUGGCGAAGGCGGGGUCUCUGGGCAGUAACUGACGCUGAGGAGCGAAAGCGUGGGGGAGCGAACAGG